AAAUUCUCCCCCCUGUCCCAUCAGCGUCGCCGCCGCACACCACCUGGUCUCCUACCUCGUUUUCCUCCACCUACCGAUCACGCACCAGAUCCAUGCCGAGCCAAACCUGAGCCAAUCCCCUCUUCCCUCCUUGAUCGGUUCCCAGCCAGCCCCGCACCUCGCCUCAGCCUGCUCCUCUUGCAUGCGUUGCUCCCGCUUCCCUCCCGAGCAACCCGAGGAACCGGAGCCGCGGCCUCCCGGCUGUGUUCGAGCCGCAGCGACAAGGUGACCGAGCCUAGCUGCAGGAGCAGCCGAGCCGCCCCAUGGGGCCUCGAUCCAAUAGCUGCAGCACCUACCUCGGCCAGGAGCACCCCCAUGCCCGGAGCUGAUUCUUACCCGCGUCCCGCACCAAGUAGCAGCAGCAACCCCGGUCGCCCUAAGAACCUGCAGGCCAGAGCCCUCUCCUCCUCUCUCGUCUAGUCUCUUUUCCUCUCCUCAAGAUCUUUUCCUCUUUCUGUGUAUAGUGCAGCAGCAGGAGAAAGCCAUGGCGCCCACUCUCGUGUCUGUCGGAGCUGUGCCCGAUGCCUACAGCCUCGGGAACGGGACCCCCUCGUCCGGUUAUGCCCGGCCCGCUGGCGAAGAUCCCCGCCGAAGCCGCCCCUGCAGUCUCUGAUGAGCUGAGCCGCCACAGCCUGCAUCCCGUCCUGGCAACAGAGAUAUCUCUGUUUCGUGAUUCAGUUUCGUCAGACUCGCCCCACGGUAUGGUUCAUCUGGCACAAACCCUGCAAUAUAUCACUCGAACAUGCAUAGGUCAACUGGCUUGUGACAACCGGUUCCAUCCCAGAGAUUUGGGGUUCGAAUCCCAGUAGCGCCAUAUUUAUUUUGCCAGCUUUUUCAUCAGUUUUUUCAUCAAAGUCGCUGUAAGGGUGCUUCACCUAGAGCAAUACUGCUUCUGUUAGCAUAAUUCUUGUGUAGCCAACUGGUUAGUCUGUUGUAUAGUGACCGUGAGGUCGUGGGUUCGAGUCCCCGGUGUGCCCUUUUGUUUUUCUGGUGUGUUAACUUGGUUCGAGUCAUAGCUUCCUUGCCUGAUGGCUCUACUAGUUCAACUUGCCUGAUGGCUCUACUAGUUCAACUUGCCUGAUGGCUCUACUAGUUCAACUAGCAUGGGCUAGCCCAGUGGCUGUGUGUGUGUGCGUGUCUGUAGGAGAGGUGCAGGUUUGAUCCCCCCACAUGCACAUUUUUUUCUUUUAUUUUGAGUGUGUGUGUUGUGCGUUCUAGGCCCACUUGCAUACACCAACUAGGGGCCCUGGUGUGCAUGGCCAGUGGGACCCCGUGACGAUGAUACGUAUAUUGUUUUCUGUAGUAUUUUUGAGGUAUUUCCAAAUCUGGAAUAUUCUAGAAGAAGAAUAUGCAAAAUCUGGCAUAUAAGAACAACCCCCUGUUCUUGUUAAUAUCGGAGUUUGAUCCUGUGUAGUUUUCCCUUUGUUGUUUGUGGUGUUUUUCUUCAUGCAUUUAUAGCACUGUAAUAUAUGGAUUUGGGGUAGGAGAACCCAAGGAAUCCAAUGAAGACACUAGUUUCCAGUUCUGAGCAGUUCUGCAGAAGUGUCACUUUGUGAUGAGGUGGCACUUGUUUACCGAUGCAGGAUGGGUUAAGUGCAUCAAUAGGAUUUGAGCAUCCAUGCAUCAUAUUGGGUAGUGCAUCCUCUUGUGCAUGUCGUGUGGUGAAUAUGUUUGUUGAUGCUUGUUUUCGGUUCCCUUCGUCUCGAUAGAGUUCCGCAAGCGUGUCGGAUUGUGAGGACCCGUUCGACUACAUCGGUUCGUGUGCUUCACGAGUUGUUCUUCUUCCAAGCGGGAUCUCAGGCAAGAUGACCAUUUCCCCAGAUACCAUUACUAUCAUUGCCAUGCUAGCUUUACCGCCUCUAUCGAUUAUGUCUCGUUGCCUACCACAUGUUAAAUAUCAGCCUCUCAAUCAUGACAUGAUAACCUUCAACCUGUUCGACCUAGCAAACCACUGAUUGGCUAUGUUACCGCUUGCUUAACCAUGUUGUUAGCGUUGCUAGUUGCAGGUGUAGUUGCUUCCAUGCGAAAGCAUGGGUUCCUUGUUAUAUCACCAUAUUAAUGCUAUUUAACUUAAUGGACCUAUAUACUUGGUAAAAGGUGGAAGGCUCGGCCUUUCUAGCCUGGUGUUUUGUUCCACCUUUGCCCCCUUAGUUUCGACUACCGGUGUUAUGUUCCAUAAUUGAGCGCUCCUAACACGAUCGGGGUUGUUAUGGGGACCCCCUUGAUAAUUCGUUUUAGAUUAAAGCUGGUCUGGCAAGGCCCAACUUUGGUACUACAUUUGCCUAAUCACCUAAUAAAAUUGCAUAGGGACUUCCCGGGCCCCGAUGAUAAUUUAAUCAACCCCUGGGCCAGUGCUCCUCAUGAGUGUUGGUCCCACCUGAGCGAUGUCCGGCGCCCCUCUGGUCACCCGGAGGUUUAGCGAUCCCGACGUCUAGCUCAUCCGCCGUGUCCUGAGAACGAGGUACGCGACUCCUAUCGGGAUCGUCAACACGUCGGGCGGCCUUGCUGGAUUAGUUUUACCUUUGACGAGAUAUCUUGUGCAUCGGGAUUCCGGUGACGCUUUGGGUAAUCUCAGAGUUGAGGUUUUCCACUAUGGAAUCUGACGAGAUCGCGAGCUUCUUGAUUGAGGAUUUCUAUGCGGCUUGUGGUAAUUUGUGAUGGACUAGUUGGAGCACCCGUGCAGGGUUAAAUCUUUCGGAAAGCCGUGCCCGCGGCUAUGUGGCAACGUGGAAACUUUGUUUAACACUGGUUCUAGAUAACUUGAAGUUAACUUAAUUAAAACAUGCCAACUGUGUGCGUAACCGUGACUGUCUCUUUCGUGAGUUCUUACUCCGAUCGAGGACACGGUGGGGUUAUGUCUGACGUAGAUAGGUGUUCAGGAUCAUUCAUUUGAUCAUCAGUAGUUCACGUCCGUUAUGCGUAGAUCUUCCCCUUCUUAUUUCUUGUACUCAUAAGUUAGCCACCAAAUAUAUGCUUAGCCGCUGCUGCAACCUCACCACUUAACCAUGCCUCACCCAUUAAGCUUUGCUAGUCUUGAUACCUUUGGAAAUGAGAUUGCUGAGUCCCCUAUGGCUCACAGAUUACUACAACACCAGUUGCAGGCACAGGUAAAGGUUACCCGACGCGAGCGCGUUGAUUGUUCAUUU
rnacentral:lncRNA from 1 species